AGUGAACGCUGGCGGUAGGCCUAACACAUGCAAGUCGAACGGCAGCACGGUAAGAGCUUGCUCUUACGGGUGGCGAGUGGCGGACGGGUGAGGAAUACAUCGGAAUCUACUUUUUCGUGGGGGAUAACGUAGGGAAACUUACGCUAAUACCGCAUACGACCUACGGGUGAAAGCAUGGGAUCUUCGGACCUUGCGUGAUUGAAUGAGCGGAUGUCGGAUUAGCUAGUUGGCGGGGUAAAGGCCCACCAAGGCGACGAUCCGUAGCUGGUCUGAGAGGAUGAUCAGCCACACUGGAACUGAGACACGGUCCAGACUCCUACGGGAGGCAGCAGUGGGGAAUAUUGGACAAUGGGCGCAAGCCUGAUCCAGCCAUACCGCGUGGGUGAAGAAGGCCUUCGGGUUGUAAAGCCCUUUUGUUGGGAAAGAAAAGCAGCAGGUUAAUACCCCGCUGUUCUGACGGUACCCAAAGAAUAAGCACCGGCUAACUUCGUG
rnacentral:rRNA from 1 species